UACGUAGGGUGCAAGCGUUAUCCGGAUUUGUUGGGCGUAAAGGGCUCGUAGGCGGUUCGUCGCGUCCGGUGUGAAAGUCCAUCGCUUAACGGUGGAUCCGCGCCGGGUACGGGCGGGCUUGAGUGCGGUAGGGGAGACUGGAAUUCCCGGUGUAACGGUGGAAUGUGUAGAUAUCGGGAAGAACACCAAUGGCGAAGGCAGGUCUCUGGGCCGUUACUGACGCUGAGGAGCGAAAGCGUGGGGAGCGAACAGG
rnacentral:rRNA from 1 species